GACGAACGCUGGCGGCGUGCUUAACACAUGCAAGUCGAACGGAAAGGCCCUGCUUAUGUGGGGUGCUCGAGUGGCGAACGGGUGAGUAACACGUGAGUAACCUGCCCUUGACUUUGGGAAAACUUCAGGAAACUGGGGCUAAUACCGGAUAGGAGCUCCUGCUGCAUGGUGGGGGUUGGAAAGUUUCGGCGGUUGGGGAUGGACUCGCGGCUUAUCAGCUUGUUGGUGGGGUAGUGGCUUACCAAGGCUUUGACGGGUAGCCGGCCUGAGAGGGUGACCGGCCACAUUGGGACUGAGAUACGGCCCAGACUCCUACGGGAGGCAGCAGUGGGGAAUAUUGCACAAUGGGCGGAAGCCUGAUGCAGCAACGCCGCGUGCGGGAUGACGGCCUUCGGGUUGUAAACCGCUUUCGCCUGUGACGAAGCGUGAGUGACGGUAAUGGGUAAAGAAGCACCGGCUAACUACGUG
rnacentral:rRNA from 1 species